CGGUGGGUAGGGUCCGGGGGAUAGCCGUCCUCGCUAAGCUGAAACCGGCUUUACGCAGCGGCCAGCAACCCUCGGGUAAAACCAUCUUCCUCGUCACCCGCGUUGGGCUGGGAAGACGAACUCACGCCGGGGUGGGCGGUCAUGAGGGGCAGCCCUCUCGAAGGAGAGGGCCUGACUCUUGAUUGCCGAACCGGGCGAGGUCCGGGAGGGAGCAGCCCUAUGGCAACGUGGCCACGCUGCCCCGUCUACGUGGGGGAUUCCCGUCUCGGCGAGAAGGGGUCGGAGAGCGAUGGUGAACUCCGAGGGAACUACCG
rnacentral:SRP_RNA from 1 species